rnacentral:misc_RNA from 1 species
GGUGGGAGCUGGCUUGCCUGCGAUAGCGGUGUAUCAGGCCGUGCAGUUGUGUUUGACCCACUGCAAUCGCAGGCAAGCCAGCUCCCACA